AGAUAGUUUAUCGUACGUUGGAUUUUCAGACGAUUUUGGAUUUAUAAACUACUGUUUUGCAAAGCAAUUUGAGGGUAUUGAACAAUUUAAAAACCAUGUAAUAAAAGAGUACAACAAAGUUGUCCCAAAAAACAUCGAUAUACUGCUGGCAUUCUUCGAGGUCAGUACGAGUUAUUCGAAUGCUGACGAUGAUUUAUAUGAGCCACGACUGUUUUGUUAUAAGGAAAUUAAUAAGAAAAGCCUGCUCAGUAGUGUUGUCUGCAAUAAGAAGAUCGUGAAAUUAG